rnacentral:rRNA from 1 species
GGGUCUACCCAUUGGUCAGGCUUAAUUGUCUGCACUGGUGAGAUGGAUCUCUACCUUCUGAGGAACUUUCAUGCCAUUUAUUUGGUGUGAUGGGAAAUCAGGACUGUUACUUUGAAGAAAUUAGAGUGUUUAAAGCAGGCUUACGCUUGAAUACAUUAGCAUGGAAUAAUGAAAUAGGACGUUUGAUUCUAUUUUGUUGGUUUCUAGGAUUGACGUA